AUUGAACGCUGGCGGCAGGCUUAACACAUGCAAGUCGAGCGGGGAAGGGUAGCUUGCUACCUGACCUAGCGGCGGACGGGUGAGUAAUGCUUAGGAAUCUGCCUAUUAGUGGGGGACAACAUUCCGAAAGGAAUGCUAAUACCGCAUACGCCCUACGGGGGAAAGCAGGGGAUCUUCGGACCUUGCGCUAAUAGAUGAGCCUAAGUCAGAUUAGCUAGUUGGUGGGGUAAAGGCCUACUAAGGCGACGAUCUGUAGCGGGUCUGAGAGGAUGAGCCGCCACACUGGGACUGAGACACGGCCCAGACUCCUACGGGAGGCAGCAGUGGGGAAUAUUGGACAAGGGGCGAAAGCCUGAUCCAGCCAUGCCGCGUGUGUGAAGAAGGCCUUUUGGUUGUAAAGCACUUUAAGCGAGGAGGAGGCUACCGAGAUUAAUACUCUUGGAUAGUGGACGUUACUCGCAGAAUAAGCACCGGCUAACUCUGUGCCAGCCGCCGCCGUAAUAC
rnacentral:rRNA from 1 species